CAGGAGGCUUCAUAUAUGUAAUUUUAACGCCCAAAUAGUAGAACCAGAAGCAAUAUGCGAUAGAGGACUGAAAUAAAGGAGAAUGGAAAAACUGAUUCCCUAAACCAAGCAGCGGUGUAGAGAAAAUGCAGAAGGGACCCAACGGCUUCCAAAAUUGUUGACAGCACCCCGAACCAAAAGUGUCUCAGAGGAACUCAAGGUCAGUCAAUGAGAGGAUCCACCAAAUCCAACGGACGAGCGAAGAUGCAGAAACAGUCCAAAAUGGCUGUACGCAGAAAUAAACAGCUGUCCAUGAGUAGACGUACUAAAGAACCAGAUCCUGGAUCUACAUGGUCGUGUACAAUCUGUCAACAGAUCCGUGACCUAUCCGGAGAAUAGGGGUACGACACAGAGGAUGAAUAAAAAUGAAAUAUGAGUGGAGCAGAAGCCGAUGUACUGAACGGCAAGAAGGAAGAAGACACGUCGAUACCAUGACGUCAGAACGCGAUGAAAUACAAGAUGUACUGGGGGGAAACCGUAAGCGGAAAAAACUGGUGCACCUUGUCAUCAGGUCAUUCCUCAAUGAAAUGCAGAACGCACGAUACCACUAGACUUGAGGAAUAGCGAGAGAUAGGGCUCCCGUACGGUAUACUCCUCUUGGUAGACUGCAGACCAAGAGAUCCUUAGCAAUGCCAGAAUCUUGAGAAAACGCACAUGAGUCGUCCACUAGCUGACAUAGGACGUGAAUGGCCCCAUACGAUCCUACCCUGAGAGGGCAAC
rnacentral:lncRNA from 1 species